AGGAGUUUGAUCCUGGCUCAGGAUGAACGCUAGCGGCAGGCUUAACACAUGCAAGUCGAGCGGUAAGCCACCUUCGGGUGGCCUAGAGCGGCAAACGGGUGCGGAACACGUACGCAAUCUACCCUUAGCUGGAGCAUAGCCCGAAGAAAUUCGGAUUAAUACUCCAUAAAAUAGCAGAGUGGCAUCACUCAAUUAUUAAAGAAUUUCGGCUAAGGAUGAGCGUGCGUCCCAUUAGGUAGUUGGUAGGGUAAUGGCCUACCAAGCCGACGAUGGGUAGCUGGUGUGAGAGCACGACCAGCCACACUGGUACUGAGACACGGACCAGACUCCUACGGGAGGCAGCAGUGAGGAAUAUUGGGCAAUGGACGAAAGUCUGACCCAGCCAUGCCGCGUGGAGGAUGAAGGCCCUCUGGGUUGUAAACUUCUUUUAUUGGGGAAGAAAAGCACUGUUUCUACGGUGUCCGACGGUACCCAAGGAAUAAGCACCGGCUAACUCCGUGCCAGCAGCCGCGGUAAUACGGAGGGUGCAAGCGUUAUCCGGAUUUACUGGGUUUAAAGGGUGCGUAGGCGGGUGGGUAAGUCAAANGGGAAAAUCUCCAAAA
rnacentral:rRNA from 1 species